ensembl:snRNA U6 U6 spliceosomal RNA
GUGCUCACUUUGGAAGCAUAUCUACUAAAACUGGAAUGGUACAGAGAUGAGCAUGGCCCUUGUGCAAGGAGACACGCAAAUUCGUGAAGCAUUCCAUAUUUUA